GAUGAACGCUGGCGGCGUGCCUAAUACAUGCAAGUCGAACGCACAGCGAAAGGUGCUUGCACCUUUCAAGUGAGUGGCGAACGGGUGAGUAACACGUGGACAACCUGCCUCAAGGCUGGGGAUAACAUUUGGAAACAGAUGCUAAUACCGAAUAAAACUUAGUGUCGCAUGACACAAAGUUAAAAGGCGCUUCGGCGUCACCUAGAGAUGGAUCCGCGGUGCAUUAGUUAGUUGGUGGGGUAAAGGCCUACCAAGACAAUGAUGCAUAGCCGGGUUGAGAGGCUGAUCGGCAACAGAGGGACUGAGACACGGCCCAAACUCCUACGGGAGGCUGCGGUAGGGAAUCUUACACAAUGGGCGAAAGCCUGAUGGAGCAACGCCGAGUGUGUGAUGAAGGCUUUCGGGUCGUAAAGCACUGUUGUAUGGGAAGAACAGCUGGAAUAGAAAAUGAUUUUAGUUUGACGGUACCAAACCAGAAAGGGACGGCUAAAUACGUG
rnacentral:rRNA from 1 species